CAGAGAAUAGUUUAUAAAAAUAGCAAUUUUGGAGAUUGACGAUAGGGGUUAUCCCUUUCUCUGA
rnacentral:tRNA from 1 species